CCUACGGGGUGCAGCAGUGAGGAAUAUUGGUCAAUGGGCGCAAGCCUGAACCAGCCAAGUCGCGUGAGGGAUGACGGUCCUAUGGAUUGUAAACCUCUUUUGUCGGGGAGCAAGGCCCGCCACGUGUGGCGGGAAGGAGAGUACCCGCAGAAAAAGCAUCGGCUAACUCCGUGCCAGCAGCCGCGGUAAUACGGAGGAUGCGAGCGUUAUCGGGAUUUAUUGGGUUUAAAGGGUGCGUAGGCGGAAGGUUAAGUAAGCGGUAAAAUGUCGGUGCUCAACACCGGCCUGCCGUUGAAACUGGUCUUCUUGAGUGAGCGAGAAGUAGGCGGAAUGCGUGGUGUAGCGGUGAAAUGCAUAGAUAUCACGCAGAACUCCGAUUGCGAAGGCAGCAUACCGGCGCUCAACUGACGCUGAGGCACGAAAGCGUGGGGAUCGAACAGGAUUAGAUACCCGGGUAGUC
rnacentral:rRNA from 1 species